rnacentral:rRNA from 1 species
AGACGCGAAGGCGCGAGCCGGAGCAAACCUCNUAAAAGACGUCCCAGUUCAGACUGCAGGCUGCAACCCGCCUGCACGAAGUUGGAAUUGCUAGUAAUCGCGGAUCAGCAUGCCGCGGUGAAUACGUUCCCGGGCUUUGUACACACCGCCCGUCAAACCAUGGGAGUCGGUAACACCCGAAGCCUGUAGUCUAACCGCAAGGAGGACGCAGUCGAAGGUGGGAUUGAUGACUGGGGUGAAGUCGUAACAAGGUACC